rnacentral:lncRNA from 1 species
AAUGAAACAGGAGAGUUCCCUGAUUUCCUCCCGGCCCCCGCCCUCCCACAGCCCUUUGCAGGACGUGCAACAGGGUUGUGGCUCGUGUGUUCGGUCUCUGCCUGCUGAAACCCCUUAUGGGAGGUGGAGCAUGCAGACGGACGGGUGCAGGAGCCAGGGUGCAAAAGCUGGGGCGCUGGGCUUCCAGCCCCACGGCAGUGUCCAGGGGCAGGAUCCCGUGAUUCCCGGAGCCCAAAUGGGCGUGUGUUACAGUGUGCUCUUUUAGCCUUACCAUCAGCUGACGGCUUAAGUGUUAACCAGCUCAAUAGACCCUCUGCCUUUUUGCAAGCGCAGAGGGUCAGUGUGACAGUUUCUGUAUCUCAGCUCUUGUCUCACCUCCCAGAAGAAUCAGGUCACACAUGGACUUGAAGGAUGAACACCAGAGACUGGGUAAUUAAUAAAAAGAAGAAAUUGAUCUGGCCUACAGUUCUGGAGCCUUGGAAGUCCGAGAUCAAGGAGCUGCAUCUGGGUUCUAGGAUGCCUCAUAAAGGCCCGUAGUGUACUUUCUGUCUACUUCACUUAGCUCCGCAUUUGCAAUUUCUGUUAACAUGCAUACAGUUGAAUGGAUGGCCAGGAUCAAAGCUAUCUGCUGUGAGACACAAUGAGAAAUGCUUUUGUGUAAAGGAAAACACAGAUCCUGGUGCCGAACAUGAGGACAGGGCAGGCCGAAGGAGAAAGUGGAAGGAGGGGAGCUUCUCUCUCAGCCUCAUCCUUCUGGGCCUGGAUGCUGGAGAGUCAUGAGGUGCUUCAGAGUACUCUGGGUGAGGAGGGAAAGAUGGUGCCCACCACAUGGAGGCCAGCCUAGGUCUUGUAUGAAACCUGUGAGCUAGCUGAAAGCAGAGAACCCAGCAGAGGAUUCUGGGAAGGUCCUGGGGGAUGGCAGAGCCAGCAGAGAGAGGGUAUGGAUCCACCAGGCAUAGGAUGGAACAGAGCACUAUUGACCACAGUGAACUGGGGCAUGGGCAAUCAAUAAACACAUAUUAGAUUAA